GAUGAAGAACGUAGCGAAAUGCGAUAAGUAGUGCGAAUUGCAGAAUUCAGUGAAUCAUCGAAUCUUUGAACGCACAUUGCGCCCUUUGGUAUUCCAAAGGGCAUGCCUGUUCGAGCGUCAUUUGUACCCUCAAGCUUUGCUUGGUGUUGGGCGUCUUGUCUCUAGCUUUGCUGGAGACUCGCCUUAAAGUAAUUGGCAGCCGGCCUACUGGUUUCGGAGCGCAGCACAAGUCGCACUCUCUAUCAGCAAAGGUCUAGCAUCCAUUAAGCCUUUUUUUCAACUUUUGACCUCGGAUCAGGUAGGGAUACCCGCUGAACUUAAGCAUAUCAAUAAGCGGAGGA
rnacentral:misc_RNA from 1 species